rnacentral:rRNA from 1 species
UGGGGAAUUUUGGACAAUGGGCGAAAGCCUGAUCCAGCAAUGCCGCGUGUGUGAAGAAGGCCUUCGGGUUGUAAAGCACUUUUGUCCGGAAAGAAAUCCUUGGCUCUAAUACAGUCGGGGGAUGACGGUACCGGAAGAAUAAGCACCGGCUAACUACGUGCCAGCAGCCGCGGUAAUACGUAGGGUGCAAGCGUUAAUCGGAAUUACUGGGCGUAAAGCGUGCGCAGGCGGCUUGCUAAGACCGAUGUGAAAUCCCCGGGCUCAACCUGGGGAACUGCAUUGGUGACUGGCAGGCUAGAGUAUGGCAGAGGGGGGUAGAAUUCCACGUGUAGCAGUGAAAUGCGUAGAGAUGUGGAGGAAUACCGAUGGCGAAGGCAGCCCCCUGGGCCAAAUACUGACGCUCAUGCACGAAAGCGUGGGGAGCAAACAGGAUUAGAUACCCUGGUAGUCCACGCCCCUAAAACGAUGUCAACUAGUUGUUGGGGAUUCAUUUCCUAGUAACGUAGCUAACGCGUGAAGUUGACCGCCUGGGGAGUACGGUCGCAAGAUUAAAACUUAAAUGAAUUGACGGGGUCAUAGCUG